ensembl:snRNA
GUGUUAUAUGAAAGGAGAAAAGGUUAGCACUCCCCUUGACAAGGAUGGAAGAGGCCCUCACACCUGACAGCAUGCAUACAAUUAAGGCAUUGCCACCUAUUUUUUCCUACCUAUCAUUUUUA